rnacentral:rRNA from 1 species
UGAGUAACCUACCCUUAACUCUGGGAUAAGCCUGGGAAACUGGGUCUAAUACCGGAUAUGACUCCUCAUCGCAUGGUGGGGGGUGGAAAGCUUUAUUGUGGUUUUGGAUGGACUCGCGGCCUAUCAGCUUGUUGGUGAGGUAAUGGCUACACGAGCGACGG